rnacentral:rRNA from 1 species
UACGGGGGGAGCAAGCGUUGUUCGGAUUUACUGGGCGUAAAGGGCGCGUAGGCGGCGUAACAAGUCACUUGUGAAAUCUCCGGGCUUAACUCGGAGCGGCCAAGUGAUACUGUUGUGCUAGAGUACGGAAGAGGCGAGUGGAAUUCCUGGUGUAGCGGUGGAAUGCGCAGAUAUCAGGAGGAACACCAAUAGCGAAGGCAGCUCGCUGGGACGUUACUGACACUAAGGCGCGAAAGCGUGGGGAGCGAACAGG